UGGCACAGUGGUUAAGCUUUUGGCUGCCAACCAAAAGGUCGGUAGUUCGAAUCCACC
rnacentral:tRNA from 1 species